UACGUAGGGGGCAAGCGUUGUCCGGAAUCAUUGGGCGUAAAGCGCGUGUAGGCGGCUUGGUAAGUCCGCUCUGAAAGCCCGGGGCUCAACCCCCGGGAGGCGGGUGGAUACUGUCAAGCUCGAGUCCGGAAGAGGCGAGUGGAAUUCCUGGUGUAGCGGUGAAAUGCGCAGAUAUCAGGAGGAACACCAAUGGCGAAGGCAGCUCGCUGGGACGUGACUGACGCUGAGACGCGAAAAGCGUGGGGGAGCGAAACAGG
rnacentral:rRNA from 1 species